rnacentral:rRNA from 1 species
UCAGGGCUCAGAACGAACGCUGGCGGCAUGCCUAUCACAUGCAAGUCGAACGAGCCCUUCGGGUCUAGUGGCGCACGGGUGCGUAACGCGUGGGAAUCUGCCCUUGGGUUCGGAAUAACACUUAGAAAUUUGUGCUAAUACCGGAUGAUGACGAGAGCCCAAAGAUUUAUCGCCCAGGGAUGAGCCCGCGUAGGAUUAGCUAGUUGGUGAGGUAAAGGCUCACCAAGGCGACGAUCCUUAGCUGGUCUGAGAGGAUGAUCAGCCACACUGGGACUGAGACACGGCCCAGACUCCUACGGGAGGCAGCAGUGGGGAAUAUUGGACAAUGGGCGAAAGCCUGAUCCAGCAAUGCCGCGUGAGUGAUGAAGGCCUUAGGGUUGUAAAGCUCUUUUACCCGGGAUGAUAAUGACUGUACCGGGAGAAUAAGCCCCGGCUAACUCCGUGCCAGCAGCCGCGGUAAU